UUCUUCGUGCUGAUGUGAUAUUUCUACUUCCGAGUUUGUAUUGACUUUCUCAAAGUUGUUAGUAUUGAUUAGACGUAUCAAGGACACUUCAUCCAAUUCUAAGUGUCAACGAUCGCUUGUCAGUAUAUAACCCAACUAAAUGAGUUGGGUUCUAAUCCCACAAGAAGUGGUACAUGUUUGAGAAUCAAUUGAAAAGUAUGAAUAUGAUCAAAUCAGUCAUAGUAAUAGACAUUAUCAAAUAAAAACAUGACUCAAAUUAAGGGGUGACACGAAUGUCAAAUGGGGAGGUUUUUUGGUUUAAAAUUAUCAACUACAAUAGAAAUCAAUACAAAAAUAACAAUAAUGAGAUGGGUUCUUGGGAUGUGAUUCGAUUAUAGGCUAAUAUAGACAAACGGGUAAUUGCAACUGUUACAAAAUAGUUGAAUGUUAGUGAGUAAGCUGUGCCAUAGAGGAAAUAAAUUUUCUCUCGAACAAUUUAUCUCGAAUCAAGUUGGUUUCUCUCGAACACCAACAAGCAAGCAAAUUAGACCAGGCUACACCUUAGUCUAUUCAAUCUCUCAAGCUGAAUAUGUGGGACUGAGUUUAGGAUUCACUCUCUCGAGCUGAACUCAUAUCAACCCAAUAACCACUAACCAUUAAUCAACAAUCUUGGUUUUAAAACCUCUCUCUCAAGCAAGCCAAAAACACGAAGGUAGAACUGCAUUUGCAACUACAAUUCUUUAAAUUAAACCACAAUUACUGAUUAAACUCACUUCUAAACAACAUUUAAUCUAACAAUUAGCAAUACCCAUAAACUAAAUAAGCCCAUAAUCACAUAAUCACA
rnacentral:lncRNA from 1 species